AUGAGAAGAAACUUCUUGUGGAAUGCCGAUGAGGAGGCUCACGGUGGGAAGUGCCUGGUAAACUGGAGACGCAUUUGUGCGCCAAAGUCUGUUGGUGGACUAGGCAUCAAAGACCUUGCCGCUUUCAGCAGAGCACUGAGACUGAGAUGGGCUUGGUUUGAGUGGGAUAACCAUGAUAGACCAUGGAAAGGGACACCGACUCCAUGUGAUAGUUCUAAUAUGCAACUCUUCAAAUCUUGCACAAAAAUAUCCAUUGGCAACGGCUCACGAGCCUUUUUUUUGACUGAUGGAUGGAUGGAUGGAGUUGCUCCGAGGGAGGUGGCGCCCCAGCUGUUUUCCCUCACCCGUCAUAAGCACACCACGGUCGCUGAUGCUCUUCAGGAAGGAAAAUGGAUGAUGGGACUGCAGCGAUUGAACUCAGUCGAGAUGCUUCACUCCUUCGUCCUCCUUUGGCGCCAGAUCCAGCAAGUCCAGCUCGGCAGUGCCACGGAUGAGAUUAGGUGGACCCUAUGUGCUAAUGGGAUUUACUCUGCCAAGUCGGCGUAUACACAACAAUUCAUCACAAGACUACCAAUGCCCCGCCUGCUAAAUGUAUGGAGGAUUAGGAGCGAGUCAAGAAUAAAAUUCUUUGUGUGGACCUUGCUCCAAAAUAGACUCUGGACGGCUGACAGGUUGCUUAGAAGAGGUUGGAAACAUCAGGAUAUGUGUUGUGCUUGCGCUCAGGUUCUCGAAUCGGCUGACCACACAUUGGCGUCAUCGUCGUAUGAAAUUCACGCACAAAGGGCGCCGCAUCACUCUCAAUGGCAUUCCAGAUAA
rnacentral:rRNA from 1 species